rnacentral:rRNA from 1 species
CCACCGCGGUUAUACGAGUGACGCAAAUUAAUAUUACACGGCGUUAAGGGUGAUUAGAAAUAAUCUCAUCAAAAUAAAGUUAAGACCUCAUUAAGCUGUCAUACGCUCUUAUGACUGAAAACACCAUUCACGAAAGUAACUUUAUACAAACAGAAUUUUUGACCUCACGACAGUUAAGACCCAAACUAGGAUUAGAUACCCUACUAUGCUCAACCAUAAACAUUGUUACUAAUAAUUUACCUUAAUACCCGCCCGAGUACUACAAGCGCUAGCUUAAAACCCAAAGGACUUGGCGGUGCUCCAAAUCCACCUAGAGGAGCCUGUUCUAUAACCGAUAAUCCGCGUUCAACCUCACCACUUCUUGCUCUUCCACCGCCUAUAUACCGCCGUCGUCAGCUCACCCUGUGAAGGUACAAUAGUAAGCAAAAUGACCUCCCUCCUCAAUACGUCAGGUCGAGGUGUAGCGAAUGAAGUGGGAAGAAAUGGGCUACAUUCUCUCUUUAGAGUACACGAAUAGAAACAUGAAAAUCUUCUUAAAGGCGGAUUUAGUAGUAAGUAAACUUUAGAACAUUAUACUGAAACCGGCUCUGGAGCGCGCACACACCGCCCGUCACUCUCCUCGAAACACAACAUAUAUUUCAUAAAAAGAUUUCCUAACAAGAGGAGGCAAGUCGUAACAUGGUAAGUG